UACGUAGGGUGCAAGCGUUAAUCGGAAUUACUGGGCGUAAAGCGUGCGCAGGCGGUGAUGUAAGACAGAUGUGAAAUCCCCGGGCUCACCUGGGAACUGCAUUUGUGACUGCAUCGCUGGAGUGCGGCAGAGGGGGAUGGAAUUCCGCGUGUAGCAGUGAAAUGCGUAGAUAUGCGGAGGAACACCGAUGGCGAAGGCAGCCCCUGGGUCAAGAUUGACGCUCAUGCACGAAAGCGUGGGGAGCAAACAGG
rnacentral:rRNA from 1 species